GACGAACGCUGUCGGCGUGCUUAACACAUGCAAGUCGAACGGAAAGGCCCUGCUUUUGUGGGGUGCUCGAGUGGCGAACGGGUGAGUAACACGUGAGUAACCUGCCCUUGACUUUGGGAUAACUUCAGGAAACUGGGGCUAAUACCGGAUAGGAGCUCCUGCUGCAUGGUGGGGGUUGGAAAGUUUCGGCGGUUGGGGAUGGACUCGCGGCUUAUCAGCUUGUUGGUGGGGUAGUGGCUUACCAAGGCUUUGACGGGUAGCCGGCCUGAGAGGGUGACCGGCCACAUUGGGACUGAGAUACGGCCCAGACUCCUACGGGAGGCAGCAGUGGGGAAUAUUGCACAAUGGGCGGAAGCCUGAUGCAGCAACGCCGCGUGCGGGAUGACGGCCUUCGGGUUGUAAACCGCUUUCGCCUGUGACGAAGCGUGAGUGACGGUAAUGGGUAAAGAAGCACCGGCUAACUACGUGCCAGCAGCCGCGGUGAUACGUAGGGUGCGAGCGUUGUCCGGAUUUAUUGGGCGUAAAGGGCUCGUAGGUGGUUGAUCGCGUCGGAAGUGUAAUCUUGGGGCUUAACCCUGAGCGUGCUUUCGAUACGGGUUGACUUGAGAAAGGUAGGGGAGAAUGGAAUUCCCUGGUGGAGCGGUGGAAUGCGCAGAUAUCAGGAGGAACACCAGUGGCGAAGGCGGUUCUCUGGGCCUUUCCUGACGCUGAGGAGCGAAAGCGUGGGGAGCGAACAGGCUUAGAUACCCUGGUAGUCCACGCUGUAAACGGUGGGUACUAGGUGUGGGGUCCAUUCCACGGGUUCCGUGCCGUAGCUAACGCUUUAAGUACCCCGCCUGGGGAGUACGGCCGCAAGGCUAAAACUCAAAGGAAUUGACGGGGCCCCGCACAAGCGGCGGAGCAUGCGGAUUAAUUCGAUGCAACGCGUAGAACCUUACCUGGGUUUGACAUGGAUCGGGAGUGCUCAGAGAUGGGUGUGCCUCUUUUGGGGUCGGUUCACAGGUGGUGCAUGCCUGUCGUCAGCUCGUGUCGUGAGAUGUUGGGUUAAGUCCCGCAACGAGCGCAACCCUUGUUCACUGUUGCCAGCACGUUAUGGUGGGGACUCAGUGGAGACCGCCGGGGUCAACUCGGAGGAAGGUGGGGAUGACGUCAAGUCCUCAUGCCCCUUAUGUCCAGGGCUUCACGCAUGCUACAAUGGCUGGUACAGAGAGUGGCGAGCCUGUGAGGGUGAGCGAAUCUCGGAAAGCCGGUCUCAGUUCGGAUUGGGGUCUGCAACUCGACCUCAUGAAGUCGGAGUCGCUAGUAAUCGCAGAUCAGCAACGCUGCGGUGAAUACGUUCCCGGG
rnacentral:rRNA from 1 species